rnacentral:rRNA from 1 species
GACGAACGCUGGCGGCGUGCUUAGCACAUGCAAGUCGAACGGAAAGGCCCUGCUUUUGUGGGGUUCUCGAGUGGCGAACGGGUGAGUAACACGUGAGUAUCCUGCCCUUGACUGUGGGAUAACUUCAGGAAACUGGGGCUAAUAUCGGAUAGGAGCUCCUGCUGCAUGGGGGGGGUUGGAAAGUUUCGGCGGUUGGGUCUGUACUCGAGGGUUAUCAGCUGGUUGGUGGGGUAGUUGCUUCCCAAGCCUUUGACGGGUAGCCGGCAUGAGAGGGUGACCGGGCACAAUGGCACUGAGAGACGGCGCAGAAUCCUACGGGAGGCAGCAGUGGGGAAUCUUGCGCAAUGGGGGGACGCCAGAUACAGAAACGCCCCGAGCGGAAUGCCGGCUUACGGGUUGUAAACAAAUUUCGAAUGUAACGAAGCGUGAGUGACGGUACUGGGUAAAGAAGCCACGGCUAACUACGUG